UACGAAGGGGGCUAGCGUUGUUCGGAAUUACUGGGCGUAAAGCGCGCGCAGGCGGUCUUCCAAGUCAGUGGUGAAAGCCUGGAGCUCAACUCCAGAACUGCCAUUGAAACUGUUAGACUUGAGUACGAGAGAGGUGAGUGGAAUUCCCAGUGUAGAGGUGAAAUUCGUAGAUAUUGGGAAGAACCCCAGUGGCGAAGGCGGCUCCCUGGCUCGUAACUGACGCUCAGGCGCGACAGCGUGGGGAUCAAACAGG
rnacentral:rRNA from 1 species